AUUCCAGCUCCAGGAGCGUACAUAAACGUUGUUGCAGUUAAAAAGCUCGUAGUUGGAUUUUGUUUCGUCGGUUUUGAGGGGUGUUCAGGGUCCAUGGCGCAAGCCGUGUGCACCCGCCCCGCCGCGAAGCGUCGGGGGAGGUUCUUUCGCGAGGUCUCUCCACGUUACUGUGAGUAAAUUAGAGCGUUCAAAGCAUGCGUUCGCGCAGGCAUAUCCCAGCAUGGAAUAACGACUGACGAUGGGUGCAGUUUGUUGGCCAGCUCACACGUCCAUAAUGGUCGAGAGGAACGGUCGGGGGCACUCGUAUUUCGGCGCGAGGGGUGAAAUCCUUGGACCGUGGAAAGACGACCUGCUGCGAAAGCGUUUGCCAAGGACGUUUUCAUUA
rnacentral:rRNA from 1 species